GCAUAAGCAAGGUCAAAGAUCGCUCAGUUUAAGGAACACCGGGAAACCAAAGCUGGGCCAGCAGCAAAGGCAAUUACUCAGUCCCAACCCAGAAUUUUGCACCUUGUCUGCUCUCCCCUCUUCGACUUACGUUGUUGCGAGACACCUGGGAGCGACAGGUAGGGCAGUGCUGCCCAAGCGUAUGGCUGAUCCGGCCCCGCGGAGGCAGCUCCCGCGCCAAGACCCCGCGGGCCCUGAUCCUCCGUGGACCCCGGUCCCGCGCACAGCUGAUCCUCCGCGGACCUUUAUGCAGGUUCAGAGCUGCAGUGACGGGCUCGAAAGAGCCCCGUACGUUCUCCAGGACCUGCGGGAGCCCAGCACGGAUAUCUUGUGGGUAACAGGAAAUUAGAUAUGCAAAGAGAUAGUUUCGUUUGAAAGUCGUUUAGGCAGUGGGAAGAUCCACAUGCUGCAGCUAAAUGGACUCUGGAUUUAACGACAUUAUUUUAAAAAAAUCAACUGAACAAAAACGUAAGGGCAACCUCCUCGGGAGGGGGAAUGCUUCUGUUCAGUAUAACCAGUGCUGUGGCCUCCACAGACUCCCUGAAAAAUGACAGUAAACUUUCAGCUAAUUCAGAAACCAGGAAAAUUGGAGAAUGAUACAAAUGAAGGAAGAUUUCCAAGCUCCCCAUGGCAAGCUGUGCACGUGGGAUUAUAAAAAAAAGCAGCCACUGAUGAGGGGCGUCCCGAGCCUGCACUGCCGCACAGUCCUCAGGGGGGAUUUCCUGAGAAGUGGGAGAUCCUAGGAGCAACCCUUCCUGCAACAGCCAUCGGCCAAUUAUUUAGUGGGAUACAGAAAUCUGCAUUCAGAGCAGCCGCUCCUGCACCCGACCCGACCUGCGGAGUUUGUGGGCAAAUAAACCACAGGGCCUGAAGGCUUGGCUUCUGUGGACAUCAAUGGAUUAGGAUCAGAUACUAAAAAUACAGCUGAAGAACUGAGAGCGACCAUUCGAUGGACUGAGUUGUUUAGCUUACUUCCCAGCAAGCGUAAGAAUAGAUCUCAGUUUUCCUGCCUGGAGACUGCAGCCUCUGACAGGCCCGGAGAUGUUAAGUGAGAAUAUAGUUUUCCAUGGCUGAAAACCUGAAUCAAGAAAGGAGAAAGCUGGUUCUCCUUCACUGCAGCCUCCAGGUGUCAAUUUGCUGGGUGAAGCCCGCUCAGCUCCGGCGGGAUUCCUGGUGGGAGCACCGCAGGGAGCAGCGCCGUGGGGAGCAGCGCCGUGGGGAGCAGCAUCGCGGGAGCAGCAUCACAGGGAGCAGCAUCGUGGGAGCAGCAUCGUGGGAGCAGCAUCACAGGGAGCAGCAUCGUGGGAGCAGCAUCGUGGGAGCAGCAUCACGGGGAGCAGCAUCGCGGGGAGCAGCGUCGUGGGAGCAGCGCUGUGUGGAGCAGCAUCGUGGGAGCAGCAUCACGGGGAGCAGCAUCGCGGGAGCAGCAUCGUGGGAGCAGCAUCACAGGGAGGAGCAUCACAGGGAGCAGCAUCACGGGGAGCAGCAUCGUGGGAGCAGUGCCACGGGGAGCAGCAUCGCGGGGAGCAGCGUCGUGGGAGCAGUGCUGUGUGGAGCAGCACCACGGGAGCAGCGGUGCCCUGGCGAUGGCCGGGACCCUGUGGCCGAGGCACAGGAGAGCCAUCCGCGGCACACCGGGUGCUGCGGGCCGCGAGCCCUCGCCGUGAGCCUGACACAGCUGGGUGCAACCGCGUGGGGCUGACGAAAGAGAGGGAAGAGCCCUGGAACAAAGGGUCUUUCAGGCCACCGAAUGCAGGGGAGAUCCAAGGGGACAAAUCCGCUUUACAGGCAUAGCUUAGAUUGUGAGAUAUGCUUGCAAAGCCAAUUUGUUUUGUUUUAUAGACUUGAAAGAUUCUAAGUCAGGGCUCCCUGUAUGGUUUGAAUUAGGUUUGGAUAGUGGUAUUCUGGGAAGCUGGAUUGGGAGACAUUUUCACGUGGGGGCUCGUAGUUGAGUCGGGGCCCUCUAGCACUUCCGCAAUGCUUUCAGAUAAAGUAGCCCAUGUAUGCCCCAAAACAAGGACUUUUGCCAUGGUUAAGAAAAUGGUGAAUACCUUAAAAUGGAGGUAUUCAUCUGGUAUCAGGUGUUUAGGAAUAUGGUUCCACACAUGCAUUGGCAGGGAAAGUGGGAAUUUCAAAAGGGUACUACUUUUAAAAAAGAGAAGGUAGCUCUUAGUAGCACCAGAACGGAUUUCUUUUUCUACCAGCUUGUAUCUCUGCUAUUGAAAAGGUCAUCAGCCUUUUUGCCUGUGACUAUGCAAAAUACAAAAGCUGUAGUGAGCUGCCGUGUAAAAGCAUAGCGGUGACAAAGCUUUGGCAGACGGACUCCGCGGUCUGCCAGGGGAGGCUCUCCCCCCCGGCCGUGGUGCAAAGCGCAGUUACUUUAUCAUACGUUUCCGAGGGACCCCGUUUCGGCCGCUUCUCUCUCUGCAGCACAGUCGUUGGAGCCAGUGCGUGGACACGAAGCGACGGCGCAGCGCGCCGGGGCUGCGGCUGUCGGAGGGGGACGGGGUCUCCCGCGGUGCCAGGCCCUGGCUGCCCCGCGCAGCCAGACGAGGGACGGGAGUACGGGGCCGCACGGCGCUCGCGGCCAGGGGAAGCAGCCGGGCCAGCACCAGGACCCCCGGCGGCGCCCCAGCCCGCCGGCACCGGGACGCUUCGGGCAGCCUUGGGCAGCGCAGGCCGUGCCCUGAAAGCCCACGGGCGUGCGGCGAGCGCUGCGGCCGCGGGACAGACCCCGCUCCCGCUGCCGCCACCGGGACCGUUCCCCGGGAAGGAGCACAAUCUUUGUUGAGUCAUUAAAGCAGAAAAAUAGAGAUGGAAUCUUAGGAAAUGCUUGAAAAGAUUAGGUGAUCUUAGCUCUAAGGAGCUAAACAAAUGCAAAGCAAUCCCCCCCCCAGCCCCUCGUGCUGCUGGAGAAUGUAAUCUCAUUUCUAAACACACAAUUAGAGAAAAUAAAAAGAAAAGAAAAGAAU